UCUGGGUCGUACGACUACAUGCCGUUUCUCUUUUUCGGUCCGGUUUCGAUCGGUCGGAUUUGAGUCGGUGUCGGUUGUGCAGCCUUUCUGCCGUGUCUGUUUUACAGGUGUUGGUUGUAUCGGUGAGCUUGUCUUGCUGGUCGAUCGACAUGCCUCUGUAUGCCUUUUACCGGGUGUCGGGGGCGGACGGCACGUUUACUUUGAACAAAUUUGAGUGCUCAAAGCAGGCCUAUGUGCCUGAAAAUUCUUGCAUGGAAUAAUGGAAUAGGACUUCGGUUCUAUUUUGUUGGUUUUCGGAUCCGAAGUAAU
rnacentral:rRNA from 1 species